rnacentral:rRNA from 1 species
AGGCAGCAGGCGCGCAAAUUACCCAAUCCUGACACAGGGAGGUAGUGACAAGAAAUAACAAUACCGGGCUUUUACAAGUCUGGUAAUUGGAAUGAGUACAAUUUAAAUCCUUAACGAGGAUCAAUUGGAGGGCAAGUCUGGUCCAGCAGCCGCGGUAAUUCCAGCUCCAAUAGCGUAUAUUUAAGUUGUUGCAGUUAAAAAGCUCGUAGUUGGAUUUCGGAUGGAGCCCGCCGGUCCACCAAUGGUGAGCACUGGCGGACCCAUCUCGCUGUCGGGGACAGGCUGCUGGGCUUAAUUGUCUGGCACCUGGAGUCGACGACGUCACUUUGAGUAAAUUAGAGUGUUCAAAGCAGGCCUACGCUCU